rnacentral:rRNA from 1 species
GAUUCCGGAGAGGGAGCCUGAGAAAUGGCUACCACUUCCAAGGAAGGCAGCAGGCGCGCAAAUUACCCAAUCCUGACUCAGGGAGGUAGUGACAGUACAUAACAAUGCAGGACCCUUUGGGUACUGCAAUUGGAAUGAGAACAAUCUAAACACCUUAUCGACUAACAAUUGGAGGGCAAGUCUGGUGCCAGCAGCCGCGGUAAUUCCAGCUCCAAUAGCGUAUAUUAAAGUUGUUGCAGUUAAAAAGCUCGUAGUUGAACCUUGGGUGAGGUGCAUCCGGUCGACCGAAAGGCCAGACUGGGUCGCCAAACCUCUUUAGGGGGACUUGAAGGUUCGCCUUCAAGGUAACCCGUGUUACUGUGAAGAAAUUAGAGUGUUUAAAGCAGGCUAUCGCUUGAAUACAUCAGCAUGGAAUAACAAGAUAAGACACAUGUCUUCUUGUUGGUUAGGAGUCGUAUGUAAUGAUUAAUAGGGCCAGUUGGGGGCAUUAGUAUUCAGUAGUCAGAGGUGAAAUUCUUGGAUUUACUGAAGACUAACUAGUGCGAAAGCAUUUGCCAAGGAUGUUUUCAUUAAUCAAGAACGAAAGUUAGGGGAUCGAAGACGAUCAGAUACCGUCGUAGUCUUAACUAUAAACGAUGCCGACUAAGGAUCGGCAGAAGUCAUUUUUGACUCUGUCGGCACUUUGUGAGAAAUCAAAGUUUUUGGGUUCUGGGGGGAGUAUGGCCGCAAGGCUGAAACUUAAAGGAAUUGACGGAAGGGCACCACCAGGAGUGGAGCCUGCGGCUUAAUUUGACCCAACACGGGAAAACUCACCAGGUCCGGACAUAGUAAGGAUUGACAGAUUGAGAGCUCUUUCUUGAUUCUGUGGGUGGUGGUGCAUGGCCGUUCUUAGUUGGUGGAGUGAUUCGUCUGGUUAAUUCCGAUAACGAACGAGACCUUAACCUGCUAACUAGUUGCGAGUACGCGAGUAUUCGACACUUCUUAGAGGGACUGACUACGUUUAGUAGUCGGAAGUUUGAGGCAAUAACAGGUCUGUGAUGCCCUUAGAUGUUCUGGGCUGCACGCGCGCUACACUGACAAAGUCAGCGAGUAUUACCUUGGCCGAGAGGUCUGGGAAAUCUUGUGAAACUUUGUCGUGCUGGGGAUAGAUCAUUGCAAUUAUUGGUCUUGAACGAGGAAUUCCUAGUAAGCGCAUGUCAUCAGCAUGCGUUGAUUACGUCCCUGCCCUUUGUACACACCGCCCGUCGCUACUACCGAUUGAAUGGCUUAGUGAGGCCUUUGGAUCUGCCAUUAGGCGCAAGCUUGAUGGUGUGAGAAAUUGGACAAACUUGGUCAUUUAGAGGAAGUAAAAGUCGUAACAAGGUU